GAUGAAGAACGCAGCGAAAUGCGAUAAGUAAUGUGAAUUGCAGAAUUCAGUGAAUCAUCGAAUCUUUGAACGCACCUUGCACCCUUUGGACUGCUCCAAAGGGUAUGCUCGUUUGAGUGUCAUUGUACUCUCACACUCUCUGAUCCUUUGGAUUUGGGGAGCAGUGGACUUGGGUGCUUGCUGCUUCCUUGUGGCUCACCUGAAAUGCAUCAGUGCAUCUCUCGAUUGGACAUAGUACGGCGUGAUAAGUGUCUUCGCCGGCACCUCAUAUGAGGGUGGCCGAUCGGGAGCUCUGUGCUUUCAAACCGUCUUCGGACAACGCUGACAACUUGACCUCAAAUCGAGUAGGACUACCCGCUGAACUUAAGCAUAUCAAUAAGCGAGGA
rnacentral:misc_RNA from 1 species